UGCAACAGUGGAAUCCUGGAAGACAGGCUGCAGAGUGUCACCUCAGCUGCUGAAAUGGGGUUGUGGAGUGCAUCACCCCUGUGAAACUUCUGGGCAAGGCAACAGCUGAACAGCCACAGGCCUCUCCCAGACUACUGAAGGGAGAUCACCACAGAGAGAAACUGAGAAUGUGCCCUGAGAACAGGCACCUCCACAAGGAGAGAGAAAAGCCCAGGAGGGGCAGAGCCAGCGUUACCAGCAAACAAAUCACUCCUUCUCUCUUGGGCAGGGGCAAGGUCAGUGGCUGAGAGAGUCUAAGAAACUCUACUCAAGCGGAGCUGCCCAUCAAGGACAUCUAAGACUGAUGAAGGGGAAUUCUUUCAAACAUUCUCCACUAGUCACUACAACUUGAAAAGACUUAAAACAUUAAGACAGACAGUGAAAGUUAAAGGUGGCAUCAAAAACGUACUUUACUGUGUGUGUGCUUAUGUGUGUGCAUAUGCAUGCGUAUCCCUUCCAUCACGUUCAUCAAACCUCUGUAAAAGCAGUCCUAUUAAAAUAUUGUCACUUAAGGCCUGGG
rnacentral:lncRNA from 1 species